rnacentral:rRNA from 1 species
GAUGAACGCUGGCGGCGUGCCUAAUACAUGCAAGUCGAGCGAACAGACGAGGAGCUUGCUCCUCUGACGUUAGCGGCGGACGGGUGAGUAACACGUGGAUAACCUACCUAUAAGACUGGGAUAACUUCGGGAAACCGGAGCUAAUACCGGAUAACAUGUUGAACCGCAUGGUUUAACAGUGAAAGACGGUCUUGCUGUCACUUAUAGAUGGAUCCGCGCCGCAUUAGCUAGUUGGUAAGGUAACGGCUUACCAAGGCGACGAUGCGUAGCCGACCUGAGAGGGUGAUCGGCCACACUGGAACUGAGACACGGUCCAGACUCCUACGGGAGGCAGCAGUAGGGAAUCUUCCGCAAUGGGCGAAAGCCUGACGGAGCAACGCCGCGUGAGUGAUGAAGGUCUUCGGAUCGUAAAACUCUGUUAUUAGGGAAGAACAAAUGUGUAAGUAACUAUGCACGUCUUGACGGUACCUAAUCAGAAAGCCACGGCUAACUACGUG